ACUGAAGAAUAACUUACUAAAAUUAGACGCUAAUUGAUUUCCACUAUCUGUUUCCAAGGAAGCCCGAAGCACGUGAUUGGGACCAGCACAUAGAAUACUUGGAUAAUCAACAGUACGCGACGUUUCCAAGCACUGUGACAGAUAAGGCAGUGCCAGUUCAGUUGUAUUGGGGGGUGGCGGUGGGGGAGGGGGGAUUGUGGAGGAUGGGACAACACACUCGUGUUCCAAUCUAGAAGCAAAACCUUCUGGAAGUAACCGGCUCUCUAUCAGCUAAUCUGCAAUCUACCAUCUGAGACUGAAGGUGGGCCCGGAUGGCUCCUAAAAUGAAUUACUUGCUGCUACUAAAAUGAAAUGUGUACAGUUCACCGGAGAAAGCAAUUAUGGUUUGGAAGAGUUAGUGUUAAAAGGAAACCAGGCCACCAAAGAACAUGAUGGCUGGGCACCAUCAAAGCAAAGAACUCAACUCGAAGAAGCUGUGCAAGAUCGGAAGAUAUGCAGAGACCUGGCCCAUAGAACCCACUUGAUCAAGUCAGACAUGACGGAAUGGAUAACCUCAUCAUCACCAUUAAACUUGGCAGAAGUCCAGUGAAGUCCAGCAAACUUAGCAGAAGUCCAUUUUCAUGUCAGUACUUAUCAGUCAAUUACUCAGUUUAUGUAAUACAUUAAACUCUAUCAUGGUUUGCUUAAA